rnacentral:rRNA from 1 species
AGAGUUUGAUCAUGGCUCAGGAUGAACGCUAGCGGCAGGCUUAACACAUGCAAGUCGAGGGGUAACGGGGAAGCUUGCUUCCGCCGACGACCGGCGCACGGGUGCGUAACGCGUAUACAAUCUACCUUAUACUGGGGUAUAGCCUUUAGAAAUGAAGAUUAACCCCCCAUAGUCUCUUAGAGUGGCAUCACUUCUAGAGUAAAGGUUACGGUAUAAGAUGAGUAUGCGUUCUAUUAGUUUGUUGGUGUGGUAACGGCACACCAAGACUACGAUAGAUAGGGGCCCUGAGAGGGGGAUCCCCCACACUGGUACUGAGACACGGACCAGACUCCUACGGGAGGCAGCAGUGAGGAAUAUUGGACAAUGGAGGCAACUCUGAUCCAGCCAUGCCGCGUGCAGGAAGACUGCCCUAUGGGUUGUAAACUGCUUUUAUACAGGAAGAAACACCUCUACGUGUAGAGGCUUGACGGUACUGUAAGAAUAAGGAUCGGCUAACUCCGUGCCAGCAGCCGCGGUAAUACGGAGGAUCCAAGCGUUAUCCGGAAUCAUUGGGUUUAAAGGGUCCGUAGGUGGAUAAUUAAGUCAGAGGUGAAAUCUUGCAGCUCAACUGUAAAAUUGCCUUUGAAACUGGUUAUCUUGAGUUAUUAUGAAGUAGUUAGAAUAUGUAGUGUAGCGGUGAAAUGCAUAGAUAUUACAUAGAAUACCAAUUGCGAAGGCAGAUUACUAAUAAUCAACUGACACUGAUGGACGAAAGCGUGGGUAGCGAACAGGAUUAGAUACCCUGGUAGUCCACGCCGUAAACGAUGGUUACUAGCUGUUUGGACUUCGGUCUGAGUGGCUAAGCGAAAGUGAUAAGUAACCCACCUGGGGAGUACGUUCGCAAGAAUGAAACUCAAAGGAAUUGACGGGGGCCCGCACAAGCGGUGGAGCAUGUGGUUUAAUUCGAUGAUACGCGAGGAACCUUACCAGGGCUUAAAUGUAAGUUGCAUUAGUUAGAGAUAGCUAUUUCUUCGGACCACUUACAAGGUGCUGCAUGGUUGUCGUCAGCUCGUGCCGUGAGGUGUCAGGUUAAGUCCUAUAACGAGCGCAACCCCUGUUGUUAGUUGCCAGCGAGUCAUGUCGGGAACUCUAGCAAGACUGCCAGUGCAAACUGUGAGGAAGGUGGGGAUGACGUCAAAUCAUCACGGCCCUUACGUCCUGGGCUACACACGUGCUACAAUGGUAGGUACAGAGAGCAGCCACUGCGCGAGCAGGAGCGAAUCUAUAAAACCUAUCACAGUUCGGAUCGGAGUCUGCAACUCGACUCCGUGAAGCUGGAAUCGCUAGUAAUCGGAUAUCAGCCAUGAUCCGGUGAAUACGUUCCCGGGCCUUGUACACACCGCCCGUCAAGCCAUGGAAGUUGGAAGUGCCUGAAGUCCGUCACCGUAAGGAGCGGCCUAGGGUAAAGUCGAUAACUAGGGCUAAGUCGUAACAAGGUA